GCCCGGGUGCGCCAACGGAAGAGCGAGCGCGCGCAAGACGCGUGGGAUGUCGGUUCGAAUCCGACACCGGGCA
rnacentral:tRNA from 1 species